CUCCCAUUCUGUGGCUACCAAUAUAAGGGCCACCACCACCCAGAAGAAUCCCAGGAGACCGUGCAGGAGAACAAGGAUUCGCGAUCAUCCUCCUCCAAACCUGUGUCAGCACAAGAUGUUUCAGCUUUGGAAACUUGUUCUCUUGUGUGGCCUGAUCUCUGGGACCUCAGCAGGUAUUAUUCACUCACUUGGCAAAGGC